rnacentral:rRNA from 1 species
UACGUAGGGCGCGAGCGUUGUCCGGAAUUAUUGGGCGUAAAGAGCUCGUAGGCGGCCUGUUGCGUCUGCUGUGAAAUCCCGGGGCUUAACCCCGGGCGUGCAGUGGAUACGGGCAGGCUGGAGGCAGGCAGGGGAGAAUGGAAUUCCCGGUGUAGCGGUGAAAUGCGCAGAUAUCGGGAGGAACACCGGUGGCGAAGGCGGUCUCUGGGCCUGUUCUGACGCUGAGGAGCGAAAGCGUGGGGAGCGAACAGG